AAGAGGUUAGGCGUGAAUUUGAUCGUGUUUUGAGAAGAAAAUUGCGGUUUACAGUUUAAUACGGUGGUGUUAGAAUACAUUAAUUCAUUUUCGUAUUCUGCUGAAUUUUAUUUGGUUUUAUACCGAAAGUGACAAAUACUCGUAAGUAAAUUGCGGGGUUCGGGCAAAAACACAACGGCCGGAAAUUCACGUGCUUCUGACCGUGGACUCUACCAAUAUAGAAUCAGUGGCCUAGAAAUGGAAGCAGAUACAAUGGAAGAGAUGAUGCUUCGGAGAGGCCUCUGCUCGCUGGGACGGACAGGCAUUGCAGUAACAACAUGGACAGCCGAGCUGUGGAAGCUUCCGCUCGUUACCCGAGGAGAAGCCACGGAGACGCUGAGAUUAACCUACAGUGCAGCGUCUGAGCACACAGUGCAUGGCUGAAAGGGCAGAUAAAGAUUUCUGUGCGUUCAAUUAAGGAAGGCCAGUUCACAUAUACACGGCUUGUGAAACUUAUUCGGUCGCGCGCCGGGGGUUUACCGUUCUGUAAGCUAACAACGCUCUGUACAUCCACGUUACAAUAAAUUAUGUGCAAUAAU